rnacentral:lncRNA from 1 species
GGAGAGGGAAUUGGCAGGUUCAGCGGGAGGCUACUCCCCCACCUGUCUCCAGGCACUGCAGACACAGCUGCUGCGGAAGGAGACAGCCAAAGCUUCCAAGGAAAGAAAUGGCCAAGAUUUGAGAGAAACCUGGCAGCGUCCCCAAGCCUGGCACCGGAUCGCCUCAGACGCACUCGGCUGCUCCGGAGGCGGAGCGCGAGGCACCGGACCCGGCGGGCGGAGCCAGGCCAGCGGGGCGCAGCGCAGCGCCUUCCGCCAGGGCGUCUGGCGCCACCUACCGGCGACCAGGCAAGCGUCAGUGCGACCUCAAAGCAAGCUGCUGUGAGCUGGCUGGACCUGGUCCCAGCCACUAGCAAACAGCAUUUCCAACAAAGGCCACCACCGUCUUAGCCUAGGAACUCCUGUCUGAGUGCUCUUCCCUUGGAGUUGAUCUAACUGCUUUGCGUAAACCCCGCCUGAGGACAAAGGUAGUCUGUGAUCCCAAGUAUAGGUUCAACGAAGAGUGUGUGCUCCCACAACUGUGGCAUGAAUGAACAUAUGAAUGAAUGAACCAACCUACUAAAAAAAAAAACCUUUCAGACACAUUUAUGUUUGUCAGACAUUUUGUUGAUGGCUACUAAAGUCUACAAUAACGC